UACAGAGGUCUCAAGCGUUGUUCGGAUUCAUUGGGCGUAAAGGGUGUGUAGGUGGCGCCGUAAGUCGGGUGUGAAAUUUCGGAGCUUAACUCCGAAACUGCAUUCGAUACUGCGGUGCUUGAGGACUGGAGAGGAGACUGGAAUUCAUGGUGUAGCAGUGAAAUGCGUAGAGAUCAUGAGGAAGACCAGUGGCGAAGGCGGGUCGUCUGGACAGUUCCUGACGCUGAGGCACGAAGGCCAGGGGAGCAAACGGG
rnacentral:rRNA from 1 species